AACGAACGCUGGCGGCGUGCCUCAUACAUGCAAGUCGAGCGCGAAAGGCCCCUUCGGGGGACGAGUAGAGCGGCGCACGGGUGAGUAACACGUGGGUAAUCUACCUUCUGGACUGGGAUAACCCGGGGAAACUCGAGCUAAUACCAGAUAAGACCACGCGACGAGAGUCGUGUGGGAAAAGCAGGGGAUCUCUUCGGAGACCUUGUACCGGAAGAUGAGCCCGCGGCCCAUCAGCUAGUUGGCGGGGUAAAGGCCCACCAAGGCAAAGACGGGUAGCUGGUCUGAGAGGAUGAUCAGCCACACUGGAACUGAGAAACGGUCCAGACUCCGACGGGAGGCAGCAGUAGGGAAUCUUGCGCAAUGGGCGAAAGCCUGACGCAGCAACGCCGCGUGAGUGAUGAAGGCCCUUGGGUCGUAAAGCUCUGACAGAGGGAAAGAAAUGUGGGUGGCUAAUAUCCAUUCCACUUGACGGUACCCUCAAAGGAAGCACCGGCUAACUCCGUGCCAGCCGCCGCCGUAAUAC
rnacentral:rRNA from 1 species